GAUGAACGCUGGCGGCGUGCCUAAUACAUGCAAGUCGAGCGAACGGACGAGAAGCUUGCUUCUCUGAUGUUAGCGGCGGACGGGUGAGUAACACGUGGAUAACCUACCUAUAAGACUGGGAUAACUUCGGGAAACCGGAGCUAAUACCGGAUAAUAUUUUGAACCGCAUGGUUCAAAAGUGAAAGACGGUCUUGCUGUCACUUAUAGAUGGAUCCGCGCUGCAUUAGCUAGUUGGUAAGGUAACGGCUUACCAAGGCAACGAUGCAUAGCCGACCUGAGAGGGUGAUCGGCCACAAUGGAACUGAGACACGGUCCAGACUCCUAAGGGAGGCAGCCGUAGGGAAUCUUCCGCAAUGGGCGAAAGCCUGACGGAGCAACGCCGCGUGAGUGAUGAAGGUCUUCGGAUCGUAAAACUCUGUUAUUAGGGAAGAACAUAUGUGUAAGUAACUGUGCACAUCUUGACGGUACCUAAUCAGAAAGCCACGGCUAACUACGUG
rnacentral:rRNA from 1 species